AUGUUGCCGGCGGAGGCAUUUAGGUAGUGCACGACGGCUGGGCGCCGGGCCUGUUUGGCUGUGACGCCCACCCCCGGCUUUCAUCCGCCUAUGCCCUAGGGCUAGUGGAAGACUUAAGAUGGCGGCGUUUGCACGGAGUGCAAUCACUGCGUCCUUACGGGGGUUGCAAGGCGUCCGAAGUAUGAGUCCACUAACAAAAGUCCAGAAACUCGCCAGUUAAUAGUAUUGUGUCUCUUCAAAAUAUCGGAGAAUAAUUUCUUUCUCGCUGAUCGCCUAACUUCUACUGACGAAGCUUGGAAGUUGCAGAAGAUGGAGUUCGCUCUUGUUGCCCAGGCUGGAAUGCAAUGGCAUGACCUUGGCUCACUGCAACCUCUGCCUCCCCAGUUCAAGUGGUUCUCCUGCCUCAGCCUCCCGAGUAGCUGAGAUUACAGAUUCUCCUCUGUGAUACGUGGACAUUGCCAUCCCAUGCAACAACAAGGGAGCUCACUCAGUGGGUUUGAUGUGGUGGAUGCUGGCUCGGGAAGUUCUGCGCAUGCGUGGCACCAUUUCCCGUGAACACCCGUGGGAGUUCAUGCCUGAUCUCUACUUCUACAGAGAUCCUGAAGAGAUUGCAAAAGAAGAGCAGGCUGCUGCUGAAAAGUGACCAAGGAGGAAUCCUGUAAUUUGCAAUAACAUGAAUAAAUUUUGAAGACAGCAUUUUAACUGUAAUAAGCUAGAUACUGAAUGACUAAUGCUGUAUUAUCUUACUCAAAUGGAUACUAAGAAAAUAAAAAUUUGAUAUCCUAAGGUCAGAGAGUAGAACUGUGGUUACAAUAGACAGGGGAGGGGCCUUUGAUUUGGCCAUUAGGUACAAAGUGACAAUUAGAGAAGACUAGUAAAUUAUUCUGUUCUUUCACACACUAUCAUGACUAUGGUUAAAUGUAAAAUACUGUAUAUUUCAAAAGAGUUAGAAUAGACACUUUUCAAUGUUUUCACCACUAAGAAAUGAUAACUGCAUGUGAUUGGAUUAAUAUGCAACCUAAAUACAUACGAAAACAUCACACUAAAUUCAAUAAAUAUAUGCAAUUAUAAUUUUGAGAUAAUGAAAAAGAAAAAUUAAAAAAUUAUGACAAGCAGAGGCCAAUAUCUAUGAUGAACAUAGACACACAAAUGCUCUACAACAAACUAGCAACCUGAAUUCAACACUGCAUUAAACAUUUUAUUUUUCAUAAUCAAGCGGUAUUCAUCCCAGUGAUGCAAAAAUGAUUGUAUAUAUGGAAAUUAAUGUUAUGCAUUACACUAAGAGAACAAAGGAUUAAAACCAUAUGAUCAUCUCAGUCAAUAUCAUAAAAGCAUUUGAGAAUAUUUAUAAUUUUUUCAUGGUAACAACUCAAACAUUUAGGCAAAGAAUUGGGUCUCCCUAUUCCCUGAGACAGAACCACACUGAAAAUAGGACAAACAGUAACCCUGAAAUGGCCUCUAACAAUGAUUGAACUUAGUGAGGAAGGAAUGUUGAAGGCUGAGUGGCUGAAAUCUAGGCCACUAGUGCAAUAAAUCCCAUGAUUUUAAAACCUAGAGCUAACAUGUUAUUCAGAGGGGAAAACAUAAAAGCUUUUCCUCAAAUAAAAAACACAUCACAAA
rnacentral:lncRNA from 10 species